UACGUAGGGUGCGAGCGUUAAUCGGAAUUACUGGGCGUAAAGCGCGUGUGGGCUGCCCUGCAAGUCAGGUGUGAAAGCCCUGGGCUCAACCUAGGAAGUGCACUUGAAACUGCGGGGAUCGAGGGCUGGAGAGGGAAGCGGAAUUCUCGGUGUAGAGGUGAAAUUCGUAGAUAUCGAGAGGAACACCGGUGGCGAAGGCGGCUUCCUGGACAGUUACUGACGCUGAGACGCGAAAGCGUGGGGAGCAAACAGG
rnacentral:rRNA from 1 species